GGGCCGAUCAGCUCAGUCAGUUGAGCAUGGCGCUGAGAACGCCAAGGCUGCGUGUUCAAUUCCCCUUUGGUCCC
rnacentral:tRNA from 1 species